UUUAGUCAAUGAAAUGUUCACACAACAGUAAAUAUUGGACCACUUAUUUUUUGACAUUUUAGGGGAAGUUGAGCUUCCCUUGCAGUCUUAGAGCAAUCGCCACUGUUUCAGAUGUUUUGUUGCUAAAUUCUUCUGGUUUGACUGAGACGUGUGUCUGAGGUGCAGCUCUGCAGGCCUGAGGAGACUUAAAGGAAUGUUGUUUUAGACCAUCGCAGGACGUCGUCUGAGGUUCCCCGGACUGCGCACAGCUUGAACCGGAGCAACAAAAUAUAAAAGUCAAGUGCACCCCCAAAAAAAGAAAUUCUGCCGAAAAUAGAAAGAGUUCAGGGUUUGUUUGUUUUUCUUCUUUUUGUUUUUUUUUUGGGGGGGGCGGGGCGGGGGGAUCCACGCUUUUAAAGCUUUUCUAUUUAUUAAAUGAGUCAAACAUUGGAGAAUCCUGAGCUGGAAAAGCAGCUCCAGGAUUUAUGAUAAUCAGUGUGUUUACAUGGGACUUUUAUUUCCUCUUUGAAUCCGAAUAAAGCUUAAUUUCUCUCUAAAAUGACCUGUAGAACGCCUGAAAACACGUUCAGAAUUAAAGGUGCAUUAAGGAGUUUUCACGUUUUAUAUGAAAUAGCGGCCCCUGCAGGCCUUGGGCGUACCUGCAGCUUAGUAAAUAGCUCGGGUCUGUGGCUUGGGUGCUGUACGGGCACAGAAGAGGGGGACUCCUUCCUCGCUUGUUUAGUAGCGCUCAAGUAAGAUUUAAGUUUCUUCUACCUGGUGGAGUCUGUGUGGAGCUGUGGCAGUGCUAGAAGCCAGUCUUUUCUUACUUUCUGGAAGCUCCUGCUCAGUUGUUGCUCGCUAAGCAUCCGGCGGAGUAAUGGCAGACAAAACGAAAGUUAAGGAUAUCAGGUCAGCGGGAGCGUGCAUUACGUCUCAUAAUCUCAAAUUCUCCCCCAAAAAAUUCUGGUGCCGGACCGGCACUGUGACUUUCAAGUGAUAAUUCAUUGCUGUUUGCGGUACUUACAAUGAAUAUGUCAGGGCACAUUGUACACAGCAUCAAUUAUUUGUAAUAUAUUUGUGGUGGAAAAUAAGUAUUUUUAAAGUUGAAAAACUCCUUAAUGCACCUUUAAAUUUAAAUCCAUAUAGACUGCCCAGUUGUCGGGAGCGGAAUUAUGGCGUGACUUUAUUCUGGUCGUUCUGCGCAUGCUCCGCCGUCGCUAUGACGCAAUGUCCCAAGAUGGCGGCCAGCGGUUCCACUCGUACAGAGGAAAUUUUUUGAACGGGAUCUUCAGAAGAAACUGAUAAAAUGAAAAGAACGGAUAGACGGGAGCAGACCAAUGUGGACACAUUCAAAGCUGUAGCAUCAAAGUUAAUCCAGAAAGAGAAAAAAAUCGCUGCCAAAAUGCUUUGUUUACUUCCGGGAGACAGAAUUUAAACCUUCAUUUCCCGUGUAAACGUCAAACUCAGUAAUAUAUUUCAGAGUUGUUUGUGACUGUGUUCCUGUGUAAACUGACACGUGAAGUCUUGUUUUUUUUAAAGUGAUGUUAAACCAAACCUAAUGAGCCAUCUUCACUUCUGACAUUCCAUUAAAAACAAAACACACCGGAG